GGCACGGCACGGCAUGAUGCCGCUUGGCACGGCUCGGCACGGCAUGGCGCUGCUGGCGCGGCUUGGAUGGCAUGGCUUGCGUGACAUGGCAUGGCAUGGCAUGAUAUGGCAUGACACUGGUGGCACAGCGUGGCAUAGCUUGGCUGGAACGCCUUAGCAGGGCACAGCAUGGCACUGCUAACGCACCUUGGCACGGCUGACACGAGAUGGCACAGCUUGGAUGGCACGGCACUGCUUAGCACACCUCAGCAUGGCAUGGCUCAGCUGACAUGGCACUGCUGGCACAGCUUAGGAUGGCAUGGCAUGCCCAGCCUGGCUGAUCAUGGCAUGGCUCAGCUGGCACACCAUGGCAUGGCACUGCUGCCCUGGCACGGCUUAGAUAGGAUCAGCCUGGCACAGCUUGGCAUGGCACAGCUCAGGACCCCUGUGCCAGUGGCUCCUGCACCCAAACCUGCGCCCAGUGCCUGUGCCCUGCCACCGCCCUGCCCCAGCAGCCAGCUGGGCCUUAACUCAGAGCUCUCACAAAGUGACAAUUCCCUUGUGAACCUACAACUCCUUUUUUCUGAGCAUUUUCUCCUUUCUUUGGUUUGCUGAGUCUUAAAAGUCUUCAGGUGCCAGUGCAGGCUGCUGUAUAACUAAUUAACUUCCAACAAUUAACUUCCUAUUUCUAGUUACCUUUUCCAGACAUUCUUGAAUUAAUUUCACAAACCCCUGGGGCUUCAGUUUUGAGGGGGGGGGGGGCUGAAAACCAACGAAGCUCAGCCAGGCUCUAUCCAUGAGGAGCCAAGGCACAUGGAUAAAUCCUGGAGCUUUACCCAAGCGACGUUGUGCAUCUGACCGCAAGAUUGAUUCAAUCCGGACAGCGGGAUGUAAGCAGAGAGGCGCUGCCGUUCAAAGGAGCCAUUCAAGGAAGGAGGAAAAGGAGGAAACAGAAAAAAAGGCUUUCCUCAAAGUCACUCGAGUUGUUCGCCAACAACAACACGGCCUUAACAGAGCAACCCAAAAUCAGGUGAGACGAGUGCGUAAGAGCAGCAGCGAUGCCGCCGGAGCGGAGCAAGGGCACGGAGCAGCGAUGCCCCCGGGGCUGUUUGUCCUUCCCCGAACCUCGGGUCAUGCCCAAGGCCUGAUCCAGCCCCGGUGCUGGCACACAGAGACCAUUUCUGGGUCAGCUUGUGCUUGCUGGAUUAAAGCUUCAUCAGAGGGAUGUCAUGGGUAAUGGUGAAUCUUGCUCCAUGCUGGUGCCCUUCCUGGAGCCCGUUGGAUCCUCUGCUCUAAAAUCCACGAGGAUUUAUUUAAGGAGAGCAGUAACCAGAGGGGAGAAAGUUAAACUUCCCUGUUCCAUGUCCAGUUCUGCUCCAUGAUGAGCCCCUCUCUGCUCAGAGAUUGCACAAGUUCAAAUAAAAGCAAGACCCUUGCCCAGCAAAAAUAACACCAGCACCAAAGGAAAAGCAAAAUAUUUGGAAGAGAAGCAAAGCUGAAGAAUCCUCGGGGAGCACUUUCACCAAUGACUGAUGAUGUUUUUGUCCCUAAGCAGGACUUGCCCCACCUGGGCUUCCAUGAAGGAGGUUAGAUUUUGCCAAGGAUGAGUUCCUGUGCAGAGCCCUAAUGAAGCCCAGGGACUCCGACAUCUUUGUGACCUGUGAAGUGAGGCUAGGGAAGAGGGAAGUGAGUUUUUCUUUAAGUUCAAGAUGUUUCAGUAACUUGGGAUGAGUCUGAGCAGGGAGUUUGCUGUCCCAUGGCACUGGCAUCCUGAGUGCCAGGGGGUGCAGAGCAGGCAGGACGGAGAGAGGCCUCCGAGCGCUGCAACCUGCACGGAAAAUUGUGGUGGGAUAAGAUAAGACAUGAAUUUAAAUCGCUGUAACUCUCCUCUGCUGUGCUUUGACUCUGGAAUAAAUCUCUCCUGUUUCAUUGCUGUGGGACACAGUUUAAGGGAAAACAGGAUAAGUGGAGCUGGGGGUUGUGUGGGGUGCGGGGGGCCAGGCACCAUCUCCCACCUCUGCAGGGCGCUGAGGGGACAUCUGCCGUGAGGGACCGGGCAGAGGGACAGCCCGUGCUCGGUGGGUCCCCGGACGGGUCCCACGGGGGUUCCAGUCAGUGUGGGGGGAGCUGGGGGAUGGCUCCAGCCCCCACUGCAGGAUGAGGAUCCAGGGCACAUCCUAAAUCUGAGCCUUUCUCUGCGCCUCGGUGCCUGUUGUACACCUGCUGCUUCCCAGGUAAAUCCUCCCUCGCCCACCCCGCAGCCCCUCCAGCUGCUCCCUGGAAGCAAAACCUUCGGAAUCAGCGUUUUCCCUGCCCUGCUCCAUCCCAGAGUCCCUCCACUCCCCACGCAGCACCAGCCCAGGCCUUGCUUUUAGCUGCAGAACAAGUGCAUAAAAAUGAUCUUAUUUAUUACAGGAGACAUGUUUU